UACGUAGGGGGCAAGCGUUGUCCGGAUUUAUUGGGCGUAAAGAGCGUGUAGGCGGCCAGAUAGGUCCGUUGUGAAAACUGGAGGCUUAACCUCCAGCGGUCGAUGGAAACCAUCUGGCUAGAGUCCGGAAGAGGAGAGUGGAAUUCACGGUGUAGCAGUGAAAUGCGUAGAUAUCGUGAGGAAGACCAGUGGCGAAGGCGGAUCUCUGGACAGCUCCUGACGCUGAGGCGCGAAGGCUAGGGGAGCAAACGGG
rnacentral:rRNA from 1 species